rnacentral:rRNA from 1 species
GACGAACGCUGGCGGCGUGCUUAACACAUGCAAGUCGAGCGGAAAGGCCACUUCGGUGGUACUCGAGCGGCGAACGGGUGAGUAACACGUGAGUAAUCUGCCCCUCACUUUGGGAUAGCCACCGGAAACGGUGAUUAAUACCGGAUAUGACCAUAUGUCGCAUGGCGUGUGGUGGAAAGUUUUUCGGUGAGGGAUGUGCUCGCGGCCUAUCAGCUUGAUGGUGAGGUAAUGGCUCACCAUGGCUUCGACGGGUGGCCGGCCUGAGAGGGUGACCGGUCACACUGGGACGGAGACACGGCCAAGACUCCUACGGGAGGAAGCAGUGGGGAAUAUUGGACAAUGGGCGGAAGCCUGAUCCAGCAACGCCGCGUGAGGGAGGACGGCCUUCGGGUUGUAAACCUCUUUCAGUACCGACGAAGCGCAAGUGACGGUAGGUACAGAAGAAGCACCGGCCAACUACGUG